rnacentral:lncRNA from 1 species
GAUUAAGUGCCUGGCUCCAGUAUGUUUGUUUUUAAAUAUCUGAAGGUUAUUUGUACAGGAUGAGUGCACUCUGACUUUGUAAGCCUCCUGCUCAGACUGUGUGUGGCUCUGUUUCUCUUUGUUCUCCCCUCCUCACCCCAGCUUCUCAGAUGUAGCUCAGGCUGGCCUAGCCCUAGGCUGUUUUUGCCUCAGUAGCCUGAGUGCUGGUUACUGGCAUUGUCAAGCUAGCUUGUUGCUUAUUUGCCUAGUAGAAAUUUUGUUAUGGUAAACACAUGGUGAACACAAUCAUAAUCCAUAAAAAUAGCUGUUCAAAAUUGGUGUUUCUAUGUGGAGCAGCAGUGGCACACAACACAGAAACCUGGCUUGGAAAAAAAUAAAAAUAAAUAAAUGCAAAAAAAAAAAAAGCGUUUCUAAGGGUUUUGCCAGAACAAUUAAUUUGCAAAAUAGAACAGUGUAGAGGUUUUUAAUUUUGUUUGCUUUGUUUUUGUUUUUCCAGGGGCAUUUCUCACACUGCCACCAGUUAAGGGGAGUCACUAACUUUAAUUAGGGAAGUCGAUUUCUUUCCUGUGAACUGAAGUGUUUGAGGUGUGUGUGUUCAGUUUGCUAAUGCUCCUCCUCUCUGCUUGUCAGCAACAGGUGUGCCAACUGGCAUACUUAAUGGAGCAAGUAAGGGUCUCCCGGUGUAGCCCUGCCUGUCCUGGAACUCACUAUGUUGACCAGACUGUCCUGGAAUUUACAGGAAUUCACCUGCCUCUAUCUCCCCCUGGAAUUAAAGGCCUGUGCCAACAUACCUGGCUGCACUGUCUUUUUAAUUUAUGAUUUAUUCCAGAGCUUCUCUGUUGACAAAGUAUUACCUGUGGUGAGAUAGAUUUUUCCACUUCAUUUUCUUCUAGAACUUCAUGAUUAUUUAAAAGUAAUCUUGUGUGUAUGAUGUGUGCGCAUGCACUUGUGUCUGCUUAUGUAUGUGUGUGCUCUUCCUUGGCUUCUGUAUGGACUUUAGAGUAGAUGCUCAGGUGACUGUCCUUGUUUCUGACUUGGUUUGUGCCAGGAUGCCUUAGUUACUUUGCUUUUAUUCCCUGCCUACGUGAGCUAGGAGCUUCUGGGUGUUGUGUCUUUCUGAGAGAGCUCUUGGAUGACAGACACUUACGCUGUCAUGGCUGCUUCUGGGCUUUGAACUCCGGGCCUUCCAUUUCUCUAGCUCUGCUUUGUUUUUCAAGACAGUGUUUCUGUCUAACAGUGUUGGGUGUUCUGGGACUGACCUUGAAUUUAGAGAUAUCCCUCUGCCUUUGCCGUCCCUAAAACUGAGAUUAAAGGUAUACACUACCACUGCCAGCCUAAGUAUCUUUUAAUUGACUUUCAAAAUCGAUAAAUUAUGUGUGUGUCUUUACAGAUACAGGAAUGCAUCUUUUUGCAGAGAGGGUCUCAUUAGCAUGGAGCUGAGCAGUUGGACUGACUGACUGGCCAGUAAACCCUGGGGAUCAAGCAACCCCCAGUACAGAGAGGACAAGUGCGACCACUACCAUCAUCAGCCUUUGAUGUAGGCCAGGGGUGGAGCAAAGGUCCUCAGAGUUGCACAGUGUUGUAGGGCCAUACACUACAUUAAAUAGUAGGUAAGAGUUUUACAAUGCUGCUAUGUACUGUUUAAUUAAAAUACCCAUGACUUGGUCUCACAGUUGUGUUAGCUAACGUGUGGUUUUGCAGAUGAACAUGAGAUUCUUUUGCUUAAAACAGUAGUCUUUGUUUAGAAUUAUAUACAGUAAAUUUAAAUUUGAGGAAUUUUUAACUCAUAUACUUAACGUGUCGUAAAGAGCGUACAAACAAAACGUGCACUUCUUCUAGACUCCUAAAAUGUACUGUUUUUAGGAAAUGUUGGGAAAACUCACAGUUCCUAUGAUCAUUCAAUAAGUUGCCAUUUUCCUGUUUUCUGAGUAUUGAUAGUAAGAGGGAUAAAUUAUGAGAGAGCAUAAGGCUAAAUUUUUUUUUGAACAUGUUGAUUAAAAAAGUAAGCCAGUUAGAAGCUGGAAAAGUAGGUUUCAAAAGAAAGUAUUUUACAGUAUUUGAAGCCAUUAUUAUUAUUAUUAUUAUUAUUAUUAUUUGUUUUUUUUCGAGACAGGGUUUCUCUGUAUAGCCCUGGCUGUCCUGGAACUCACUUUGUAGACCAGGCUGGCCUCGAACUCAGAAAUCCACCUGCCUCUGCCUCCCAAGUGCUGGGAUAAAAGGCCACCACUGCCUGGCCAUUAUUAUUUUGAUUGGUGGAAUUUUGAAAAGUUAUUUACUCAAUGUUUGGCCAGGAUGGGACCAAAUUUAUUGCAUAAUAAAUACAAAAAUAAUUUUAUUUGGGAACAUUAAAUUGAUAUACUUUUCCUACUUUCUAUAUACAUUUGUUAUUUCAUUCAAUUUUUUAAUGUUGAUUGUAGUAACAUAUUAAUUUUUUUGUUUUGUUUUGUUUUGUUUUGUUUUUUUUGGCUGGCCUUAAACUCACAAAGAUCCUCCUGCCUUUGCCUCCCAAGUGCUGGGUUCAAAGGUAGUGUGCCACCACACCCAGCUCCUAUUACUAAUAAUUACUAAUGACAUAAUUAAACUUUUUAAUCAUUUUUAUAUUGAAAGGAGUCUGGUUAUUGCCCAAAUACUUAUUGAACUUGUAGAGGCAUG